rnacentral:tRNA from 1 species
GCGCUUGUAGCUCAAUUGGACAGAGUGCGGCCCUGCGGAGGCUGAGGUUGUGGGUUCGAUCCCCACCAAGCGCGCCA